rnacentral:rRNA from 1 species
AUUGAACGCUGGCGGCAGGCCUAACACAUGCAAGUCAAACGAGUGGCGGACGGGUGAGUAAUGUCUGGGAAACUGCCCGAUGGAGGGGGAUAACUACUGGAAACGGUAGCUAAUACCGCGUACCAUCGGAUGUGCCACGAUGGGAUUAGCUUGUAGGUGAGGUAACGGCGCACCUAGGGGACGAUCCCUAGCUGGUCUGAGAGGAUGACCAGCAGCCCGGGAAAUGAGACACGGUCCAGAGUCCGCCGGUAGGCAGCAGUGGUGAAUAUGGCACAAGUGGCGCAAGCCUGAUGCAUCCAGGCCGGGUGUAUGAAGAAGGCCGUCGGUUUGUAAAGUACUUUCAGCGGGGAGGCGUUACCCGCAGAAGAAGCACCGGCUAACUCCGUGCCAGCAGCCGCGGUAAUUC